GGCGGUCACCUUGGCUAGC
rnacentral:miRNA from 1 species